UCGGGAAUUUUGGGCAAUGGGCGAAAGCCUGACCCAGCAACGCCGCGUGAGGGAUGAGGUAUUUCGGUAUGUAAACCUCGAAAGAAUGGGAAGAAUAAAUGACGGUACCAUUUAUAAGCUCCGGCUAACUACGUGCCAGCAGCCGCGGUAAUACGUAGGGAGCAAGCGUUGUUCGGAUUUACUGGGCGUAAAGGGCGCGUAGGCGGCGCGGUAAGUCACUUGUGAAAUCUCUGAGCUUAACUCAGAACGGCCAAGUGAUACUGCUGUGCUAGAGUGCGGAAGAGGCAACCGGAAUUCUUGGUGUAGCGGUGAAAUGCGUAGAUAUCAAGAGGAACACCUGAGGCGAAGGCGGGUUGCUGGGCCGACACUGACGCUGAUGCGCGAAAGCCAGGGGAGCAAAC
rnacentral:rRNA from 1 species